AUUGAACGCUGGCGGCAUGCUUUACACAUGCAAGUCGAACGGUAACAGGCCGCAAGGUGCUGACGAGUGGCGAACGGGUGAGUAAUGCAUCGGAACGUGCCCAGUCGUGGGGGAUAACUGCUCGAAAGAGCAGCUAAUACCGCAUACGAUCUAUGGAUGAAAGCGGGGGACCGUAAGGCCUCGCGCGAUUGGAGCGGCAGAUGUCAGAUUAGGUAGUUGGUGGGGUAAAGGCUCACCAAGCCAACGAUCUGUAGCUGGUCUGAGAGGACGACCAGCCACACUGGGACUGAGACACGGCCCAGACUCCUACGGGAGGCAGCAGUGGGGAAUUUUGGACAAUGGGGGCAACCCUGAUCCAGCAAUGCCGCGUGCAGGAAGAAGGCCUUCGGGUUGUAAACUGCUUUUGUACGGAACGAAACGUUCUGGGUUAAUACCCUGGGCUAAUGACGGUACCGUAAGAAUAAGCACCGGCUAACUACGUGCCAGUAGCCGCCGUAACAC
rnacentral:rRNA from 1 species